AUUGAACGCUGGCGGCAUGCUUUACACAUGCAAGUCGAACGGCAGCGCGGGCUUCGGCCUGGCGGCGAGUGGCGAACGGGUGAGUAAUACAUCGGAACGUGCCCAGUAGUGGGGGAUAGCUCGGCGAAAGCCGGAUUAAUACCGCAUACGACCUGGGGGUGAAAGCGGGGGAUCUUCGGACCUCGCGCUAUUGGAGCGGCCGAUGGCAGAUUAGCUAGUUGGUGGGGUAAAGGCCUACCAAGGCGACGAUCUGUAGCUGGUCUGAGAGGACGACCAGCCACACUGGGACUGAGGCACGGCCCAGACUCCUGCGGGAGGCAGCAGUGGGGAAUUUUGGACAAUGGGCGAAAGCCUGAUCCAGCAAUGCCGCGUGUGUGAUGAAGGCCUUCGGGUUGUAAAGCACUUUUGGCGGGAACGAAAAGGACUGUGCCAAUACCACGGUUCGAUGACGGUACCCGCAGAAUAAGCACCGGCUAACUACGUG
rnacentral:rRNA from 1 species